rnacentral:rRNA from 1 species
AUUGAACGCUGGCGGCAUGCCUAACACAUGCAAGUCGAACGGCAGCGCGGGGGCAACCCUGGCGGCGAGUGGCGGACGGGUGAGGAAUACAUCGGAAUCUACCUUCUGGUGGGGGAUAACCAGCCGAAGGCUGGCUAAUACCGCAUAAGACCGAGAGGUGAAAGCGGGGGACCGAAAGGCCUCGCGCGAGAAGAUGAGCCGAUGUCCGAUUAGCUAGUUGGCGGGGUAAGAGCCCACCAAGGCGACGAUCGGUAGCUGGUCUGAGAGGAUGAUCAGCCACACUGGGACUGAGACACGGCCCAGACUCCUACGGGAGGCAGCAGUGGGGAAUAUUGGACAAUGGGCGCAAGCCUGAUCCAGCAAUGCCGCGUGUGUGAAGAAGGCC